CCAAGAUCAAUUUUCCAGAGACAGCGGAAGAGGAGCUAGAAGAAAUUGCUUCAGAGAAUUCAGAUUCCAUCUAUAGUUCAACUCCCGAAGUGAAGGCCUGAGCAUCAGGCAAAUGCCACAGACAGUACAUAACUUACGGACUAAAACAAGCAGAGAAAAGCGUCAGCCUCCAGAGUUACUCUCUGCUUACAGCGACAUGAGCAGUAAAUAAUGAGGAAUAUGAAUUAGCUCCAGUGCUGGAACUAACCUACUUGGUGAUACCUAUGAGUGAGAACACAAGAGUAUCAGCUAAAGGCAGGUGAGGUUAUGCUCUUAUAAUGUGAUGGUCUGUUGUCUUUUUAAUGAGUAUGUGUAAGCCAACAUCCAAUUUCUCUUAUUACAAUUAGAUUUCUUGUAGCUGUUUAUGUUAUUAUGAAGAG
rnacentral:lncRNA from 1 species